rnacentral:lncRNA from 1 species
AUUUCCCUUUAGUUUAUGUUUGAUAGGGAACAUUCUGAUAAGUAAAAAAUAAACAUAAUGGAUUGAGAUAAAUGCAAUUCAUACAACUUUUUAGGAUUCUCUUCAUAUCUACAGAAUCCUCCAAAGAGCUUUCCCAAAUAUGAAGUAAGAAGCGGACUUGUUAGUCCCUUUUAGAAUUUCCGUAUGUGAGCUGGUAGUAUUUAGGACAAUAACCUCAAUUAAAAAGCAGAAAUUAUUGUAAAAAGCUAGAUAAUAAGUUUUGUCCACAUAAGAUAGAACAUCCAUCUGUGCAAAUUAUGGUUUUAAAGAGGUCUUAUUAGCCUAGUUCAGGUAUAUUCGUUUUAAUAAUCACUAUGUUUAAUGCAUUUUUCUAAGUGUUCUUGGAGUAGUAAGACAUGACUAUAGAUAGCAACAACAAAAGCUUAUAAUCAAUUUUCAAACUGAAAUGAUGAGGAGCCAGUGAGUACAUCUUAAGUAUUAACCUCAAGCAAGAACAUUCAGCUUAUACCAAGACUCCAAAAUGUUUAGGAGGUUGCUACAGAAGAAAAGGUUGAAGUAAUUAGAAAGAGUAAUAAUGUGAUACAUCGUGCUGUAUAUUUUGGAGAGAGAAGAAAGUGGAGCCUGGAGUGUGAAGCUUCAUUGACUUCAUUGUUUUUGGUAUUUGCUUUCACUUGCUAAUAUUUUAUUAUAUUUAACACUUGUUUUGGUAUCCCACUAACUGUAGAAUCCUUUUUUGUGUGUAUUUUGUGAUAAAACAUGUUAUUAAUCUGGGAUAACCCAGGCCUCUCAACUUCCUACACUUCACUGAGUCACAACUACUUCCCAUUCCUUGCACCAAAUAUGCUCUUCAGAG